rnacentral:tmRNA from 1 species
GGGGCUGAUUUUGGUUUCGACUGCGUGCAUUAAGCUAGGGGAAGCGUGCCGGUGCAGGCUAGAGACCACCGAUUUUAAGCGUCGUAGCAAAUAUAAUAAGCGCAGAGAACACUCAGCGCGACUACGCCCUCGCUGCCUAAUUUGCAGCGACCUGCGUGUCUGUCAGCCUAGAUUCGUCUCUGGUUUAGUGUCUGGCAUCGAUUAAGAGACUUGCUGGUUUGUUGUGUCAACGGGGCAAACCGGGACUUUCACCGAUGACUGGGCUCAUCAUCCGGGUGUGUUCGUCCAAGCCGGAGAGCCGAGUAGAGAUCCACGCGCGAACUGCGCACGGAGAAGCCCUAGCGAGGUGACGUAGGACCCGGGUUCAAUUCCCGGCAGCUCCACCA